GCCUGGAUGGCUCAGUCGGUUGAGCAUCUGACUUCAGCUCCGGUCAUGAUCUCACGAUUCGUGAGUUUGAGCCUCGCGUCGGGCU
rfam:Felis catus isolate Cinnamon breed Abyssinian chromosome B2, whole genome shotgun sequence.